rfam:Schistosoma curassoni strain Dakar, Senegal genome assembly, scaffold: SCTD_contig0001399
AGCCUUCUGCAUCUGUGCUGAGAUUUCGUCACACACCAAACCACAAGGGCUGAUGAGACUUCCGAAACAGUGAAGCG